rnacentral:rRNA from 1 species
UACGUAGGGUGCAAGCGUUGUCCGGAAUUAUUGGGCGUAAAGAGCUUGUAGGCGGUUUGUCGCGUCUGCUGUGAAAUUUCGGGGCUCAACCCCGAACUUGCUGUGGGUACGGGCAGACUAGAGUGUGGUAGGGGAGACUGGAAUUCCUGGUGUAGCGGUGAAAUGCGCAGAUAUCAGGAGGAACACCGAUGGCGAAGGCAGGUCUCUGGGCCGCUACUGACGCUGAGAAGCGAAAGCAUGGGGAGCGAACAGG